GCAUGAUCCUUUAAGCAUCUGUGAAGGCAGGUGGGAGUCUGCUGUUGGAGUUGUUUCUGCUUAGUGAAAGAUGUUUGCAUGCUCACUGUACCUGGCUCCCAGGGUCAAGUCUCUGUUCUAAUGUAAGCAACCUGAUUAC
rnacentral:lncRNA from 14 species